CCUUCGGGUUGUAAAGCUCUUUCAGUUGAAAAGAAAAAGCCGUGACUAAUAAUCAUGGUUCAUGACGGUAUCAACAGAAGAAGCACCGGCUAACUACGUGCCAGCAGCCGCGGUAAUACGUAGGGUGCAAGCGUUAAUCGGAAUUACUGGGCGUAAAGGGUGCGCAGGCGGUUCUGUAAGUCAGAUGUGAAAUCCCCGGGCUUAACCUGGGAACUGCGUUUGAAACUGCAGAGCUAGAGUGCGGCAGAGGGAGGUGGAAUUCCAUGUGUAGCAGUGAAAUGCGUAGAGAUAUGGAAGAACAUCGAUGGCGAAGGCAACCUCCUGGGCUAGCACUGACGCUCAUGCACGAAAGCGUGGGGAGCAAACAGGAUUAGAUACCCUGGUAGUCCACGCCCUAAACUAUGUCAACUAGUUGUCGGGCCUUAAUAGGCUUGGUAACGUAGCUAACGCGUGAAGUUGACCGCCUGGGGAGUACGGUCGCAAGAUUAAAACUCAAAGGAAUUGACGGGGA
rnacentral:rRNA from 1 species